rnacentral:tRNA from 1 species
GCCUUCGUGGUGUAGUGGUCAGUACGCUCGACGUGUAACCGAGAGGUCCGUGGUUCGAUUCCUGGCGAAGGCG